rnacentral:rRNA from 1 species
GACGAACGCUGGCGGCGUGCUUAACACAUGCAAGUCUAACGGAAAGGCCCUGCUGUUGUUGGUUGCUCGAGUGGCGAACGGGUAAGUAACACGUGAGUAACCUGCCCUUGACUUUGGGAUAACUUCAGUAAACUUGGGCUAAUACCGGAUAGUAGCUCCUUCUGCAUGUUCGGGGUUGGAAUGUUUCGGCGGUUGGGGUUGGACUCGCUGCUUAUCAGCUUGUUGGUGGGGUAGUGGCUUACCAAGGCUUUGACGGGUAGCCGGCCUGAGAGGGUGACCGGCCAAAUUGGGACUGAGAUACGGCCGAGACUCCUACGGGAGGCAGCAGUGGGGAAUAUUGCACAAUGGGCGGAAGACUGAUGCAGCAACGCCGAGUGCGGGAUGACGGCCUUCGGGUUGUAAACCGAUUUCGCCUGUGACGAAGCGUGAGUGACGGUAAUGGGUAAAGAAGCACCGGCUAACUACGUG